rnacentral:rRNA from 1 species
UGAGUCGGCCANGAGGACGGGCGCCGGCAGGUGGCCGGUGGCGUUGCUUCGGCUUCGCCGCCGGUUGUUAGCCAGCUCGUCCGUGGCGCGACACCCGACUGAGGUUGAAUAGUUCCCGUAUGGGAACUCGCCGUCCCCUUCCUUUCUGGGAGUGGGCGCUCUGGCAGGCGUAUUUCGGUGUUGCCACGUCACUCUUCGUAGUGGCCGGUGCUCCGUGAUCGCUGUUGGUUGGAAGCGUCCCGCGGGGGUGCAUGCGACUAGCGGCGAGUAGGUCGGUCACCCACCCGACCCGUCUUGAAACACGGACCAAGGAGUCUAACAUGUGCGCGAGUCACGGGGUCUUGAUUAGGCCCAGAGGCGCAAUGAAAGUGAAGGUCGACCUCGACGUCGGCUGUGUUGGGAUUUCUUGUCCUUCGGGGCGAGGAAGCACCAACGACCCGUCCUAUCCGAUUUAUCGGUUGGGCGGAGUCUGAGCGUACACGUUGGGACCCGAAAGAUGGUGAACUAUGCCUGGGCAGGACGAAGCCAGAGGAAACUCUGGUGGAGGUCCGUAGCGGUUCUGACGUGCAAAUCGAUCGUCAGACCCGGGUAUAGGGGCGAAAGAC